UUUCCGCUAUAACAGAAAGCGAUUCCUGCCCAAUGCCUCAUAAAUAGCCGCAGUUCAUCUGUGCUAAGGUAGCACAAUAACUUGCCUUUUAAUUUAAGGAUCGUAUGAAAGGACACAUGACUUUCUCAUUUUCUCAUUUAUUUCUCGUAAACUUAGCCUACAAGUAAGAAGACUUGUAUAUCCUAGAAAGACGACAAGACCCUAUAGAACUUCACUACUGUUAAACUGGGGCGGUUAAAAACAAAAUCUUCUAUCCCUAUCCACAUAAAGACCUGAAAUCUUCAACCAAUAGAAAAGUUACCUUAGGGAUAACAGAGUAAUUUCUCUUCAGAUCAUUCCAAAGAGAAGCUUUCUACCUCGAUGUUGAAUUUAAUAUUACUUCCUAAACAAAUAUUACAAAAGUAGGUCUGUUCGACCUUUAAAAUAUUACAUGAUUUGAGUUCAGACCGGUGCAAGCCAGGUCAGAUUCCAUCUUCUCCCACCUUUACUACAGUACGAAAGGACCCAGUAAUAGAUC
rnacentral:rRNA from 1 species